GACGAACGCUGGCGGCGUGCUUAACACAUGCAAGUCGAACGGUAAGGCCCCUUCGGGGGUACACGAGUGGCGAACGGGUGAGUAACACGUGAGCAACCUGCCCUUGACUUCGGAAUACCAGCUGGAAACAGCUGCUAAUACCGGAUAUGACCCUGGUCCUCCUGGACCGGGGUGGAAAGCUCCGGCGGUCAGGGAUGGGCUCGCGGCCUAUCAGCUUGUUGGUGAGGUAAUGGCUCACCAAGGCUUCGACGGGUAGCCGGCCUGAGAGGGCGACCGGCCACACUGGGACUGAGAUACGGCCCAGACUCCUACGGGAGGCAGCAGUGGGGAAUAUUGCACAAUGGGCGAAAGCCUGAUGCAGCAACGCCGCGUGCGGGAUGACGGCCUUCGGGUUGUAAACCGCUUUCAGUAGGGACGAAGCUAACGUGACGGUA
rnacentral:rRNA from 1 species